GCGCAGUCGUCGUCGCCACGUUGAAGGCAGUGGCCGAGGGCGGAGAAGGAAGGGGGACCGGGGCGGGGCGUUUGCGGUUCGAAGAGGCGGGAACUGGUGCUGGCAGGAGCACUCGCUGGAGGUUGAAAAGACGCCGGGAGCAGAGUGGCACUUCCGUGAACGGUGCUCAGCCAACCCGCUAGAUAGACGGUGACGGUGGAGGAGAAACUGAACAUCAGUAAGGGGCGCCCAAGAGGCUGAUGUGUGUUCAGGUAACCGGCCAGUCUGCCAGAUGUCCUCACCCAGCUCACAGCUAAAAGGACCGGUUAAGUGCGGAGGUGAGACCCCGGGUGGGACCGACAAAAGGCCCAAGCAGAGCAGAGAUUUGUUAAAAGAUGCUAUAAACGGGAGAGUUCCCCCCCCCCCCGAAAGGAAGACAGCGCUGUGAAGCUUGGACCAAGUUCUUGGAAGGUUGUGUCUGCUCCCCCUGUCUGUCAUCUCUCUGUUGCGAUGAGUCUUGAUUCUGUCCGAGGCUGACCCUUUGGUCUUGUGCCCAGGAUUGCAUUCCUCUCACCAUCUCAAGCAUUUUGCAGCUAGAGGUAUCCUCUCCUGUGACAUGAAUCCAGCCUUGCUAAAUUAGCGUUCAGACGUGGCCAAUGUCUUUAGAAAAGGAAAAACUUCUGCCUCUCUUGUCUGUAUCUCUGUCUUUGACAACACAGCUGCUCAAAAAGCACCUCACCCCCUCUCACUCCUCAACCCAGUCCCGUACAUCUGGUUGUCAUUCAGCUCUACAGAGUCUACCACCAACCAGGAAGUCCUUCUGCCAAGGUCACUAAUGACCUUCAUGCUGCCCAAUCCAGUGAUAACUCUUCCACUCUCACCCUACUUGACCUUUCAGCAGCACUUGCCCUAGGGGACCAUCCCCUUUCUCCUUAGCUUCAGGGAUUGGACAUCACUCCUUAGACACCCAGUAUUUGAAUUAGGUGCUUGGCUCCUAACUCUCAGUUGAAUUGGUUUGCUCCUCUUGUAGGUUUAUAAACACUUGAGUAUCCCAAGGUUCAACACCAGCUGUCUUCUCUGUGUAGACCUGAUUCAGUGGUUACAGGCAGGCCCACUGUCAUCCAUGUGCUUAACGGAUCUCAAAUCUUCAAACCAGUUUUCUAUGUCUGCCUCUCCAUUAAGCUCCACACCCAUACCCCACUGCCCCCUUGACCUCCCUACCCAGAUAUCUAACUCAGCACUGCUAAACACUUUGCAUCACAGCACACACAGAAAUGCACACAAUGUACAUUUUGUUUAGGGUUAGGGUUAGCGUUAGCACUACUAGCAGGAUAGAAAUUGGCCAGGCAGAAGUUGUGAUAUAGUUGUCAUUGUCAUGCAUUCACGUCAAAACUUGCAGACAGGUGUCACCUGCUUAGAAGAAAAUCCAAAAUCAUUAGUGGAACACUCUUAAGAGAUGCUCCAUCACUAACACUUUUUUUUUUUUAAUGAUUUUUAUUUUUUUCCAUUAUAGCUGGCUUACAGUGUUCUGUCAGUUUUCUGCUGUACAGCAAGGUGCCCAUACAUGUAUACAUUCUUUUUGCUCACAUUCUCAUGCUCCAUCAUAAGUGACUAGAUAUAGUUCCCAGUGCUAUACACGAGGAGGUCAUGGCUUAUCCAUUCCAAAGGCAAUAGUUUGUAUCAAUUAACCCCAAAUUCCCAGUCCAUCCCACUCCCUCCCCAUCCCCCUUGGCAACCACAAGUCUGUUCUCCAUGCCCAUGAUUUUCUUUUCUGUGGAGUGGUUCAUUUGUGCCACAUAUUAGAUUCCAGAGAUAAGUGAUAUCAUGUGGUAUUUGUCUUUCACUUUCUGAUUUACUUCACUUAGUAUGAGAGUCUCUUGUUCCAUCUGGGUUGCUGCAAAUGGCAUUAUGUCAUUCUUUUUUAUGGCUGUGUGGUAUUCCAUUGUGUAUAUAUACCACAUCUUCCGAAUCCAGUCGUCUGUCAAUGGACAUUUGGGUUGUUUCCAUGUCUUGGCUGUUGUGAAUAGUGCUGCAAUGAACAUGCGGGUGCAUGUGUCUCUUUUAAGUAGAGUUUUGUCCGGAUAUAUGCCCAGGAGUGGGAUUGCAGGGGCAUAUGGAAGUUCUAUGUGUAGGUUUCUAAGGUAUCUCCAAACUGUUCUCCAUAGUGGCUGUACCAGUUUACAUUCCUAUUUGUGGACUUUUUAAUGAUGGCCAUUCUGACUGGUGUGAAGUAAUGCCUCAUAGUAAUUUUGCUUUGCAUUUCUCUAAUAAUCAGUGUCCAUCACUAACACUCUUGAUAGACUAGAGUGAGGAAAUCCACAGACACUACUGAUUUGGAUUCUAAAUAGAAACUUUAAGGAUACCUAACCAAACUCAUUGUAUUACUAUUUUCCUUUCUGUGUGUGUUCAAGGGUGCUAUAUGCUUAAAAACUUAUGUCUUUAAGUCUAAAAGAACCAUUUCUAAGAAGUGUGAAAUGAGAGUUCUAAAACAUUGUGUUGUAGUUUAAUUGGAAGCAUUUUUUCCCUUAGCGGUACAUCACGUUAAGAGCAAUGGCAUCUUAGAUUCAGUGACCUAUGUCAUUGCUCAGAAACCCGGGGGUAAAGGAUAUUUCUGAGGAAGGACUCAAGCUACUGAGGGCCUUGGAGGCUCUGGUCAUCCUGGGCUGCACUGAGGCCUGAGAGGAUCCAUAUCUUUGCCUGAGACCUGUUCUGAGCCACACAGAUCCAGACACUGGUAUAACAUACCUAGUUUUACAUGUCAAAGCAGAAUUCCUCACUUACCCACCUACCCACAGAUACCUUCCCACCUAGAAGAGAAUCCAAACUGCUCAUUACAGUGCAGAGUUCUUGCCUAAUCCAUAACAUUCCUACUAAAGAAAAUACUAUUGUUUAAAGAACUUAGCUUGAAAAGAAAAACCCAUAUUUCCCAGACUCCCUUGCAGCUAGAGGUGGUUUAGAUUUCCACUGAAAUCUAAGUGGAAGUUGAUUGGGGGUUUUCCGGGGAAGUUUUUGCUUUUUUUUUUUUUUGGCUGCGACGAUGACAUAUGGAAGUUCCUGGACCAGGGAUCAAACCCCAUGCCACAGCAGUGACCCAAGCCACUGUAGUGACAAUGCCAGAUCCUCAACCUGCUGCACCACAGGAGAACUCCAGCUUUUGCAUUCUUAAUGUGAGGAGUAGCCUUCCUUCUAGAGACCUCUCUGUUCAUACUGCCAUGACUUCAGACAGAAAGUGGAAAGCAGAGCAGUCAUAGUGCAACCACGAAGCAACCAAAGGCAGGACAGCCAUAUGCUAAAGGUGGCAGAGCAGGAAGACCAAAGGAGAUGGGACUUCGAGGUUCUGUGGCAGUUUUUCAGAGCAGUGGACCUGGCUCCAUUUUGUUUGUGGUGUGGAGCACAACCCCCUACAAGAUCCAGUUCCCUGUGGCUGGUGUCUUUACAUGCAACCAAUACAAGCCCUACCAGGCCCUGGGUGACUGGGGCCCUGCCUGCCUCAGGAACUCAUCUUCCACAGCCCCUCUGGCCACAGUGGGCGUUUGGAUGCUCCUCAGAUGUGACAAGCCAAUCCUUCCUUUUGGGCCUCCAGUUUCCUUCACUUGGGACCGUCUCCCCCAGAUUCUUGCAUGAUUAACUCCUUCUCAUUCUGGAGUCAGCUUUUGCAAGGGCCGCUCCUGAUGCCAAAGCUAAAGAUGGCAGCCUGGGCACUUGACUCUCAUCACUUUGUCUUCAUCAUGCCUCUGGGCAUUACCAAAAUUCAUUAUAUCUCUGGGCAUUACUGUCUUUCUCCUCUGAGUAGCAUGGUCACAUGUCAGCCCCACAAGGAGAGAGAUCUUGUCCAUCUUGCUUGCUGCAUGCCCAGCAUCCAGAAACCAGGGUGGGCACAGAAGAAGGAUUCGAUAGACAUUCUCCCCUGUAGUUCUGGAGUACAGAUAUAUUUAAUUUCUCCCAACUGUUAUGUUAAUGAAGAGUAGCAAAUGAGGUCCACAUAGAGAAUGAAAAAUAUUUACGGAAUAUAGAUAACAUUAAUACAGAUGGCCACUAACCUUUUCUGAUCCUUUCACUCAUAAGCACGUUUAUGUGUGUGUGUCCAGCCCCAACGGUCCUAGACGGUGAGGAUAAAUGUCAGACACCACCCUUUGAAGCUUUUUACAUGGACAUGCACACUCAAAUGUUACUCGAAUUGCUGAGUAAUCUUGUAAGCUCACUAUAACUCUGGAAGUAAGGCAGGUUGACCCAUUUUUGCCAAGAAAAACAAAAGCAAACAAAAAGGAGAAGAAAAGGUUGUUGGACUUCCAUGGGAUACCACUCUACUGAAUGCAUGCUGGGACCAGAAGCCAGCUCUCUAAACCCUAAUCCCACUUCCCCCUACAGUUUCAUUUGGCUUCAACUUGUUAGUCACAGGUAAUUGAGAAGCAUUUUGAGGCAUUUUUCAAAAGUAAUUCAACAGCUGGUAAAGGACAUGGAGGUCAAUUUUAGUCACUUAUGAGGUCAUCUUUUAGCUGAGGAUAUUUGAAGAAAGAAAGAACCAAUGUGAGUCUCAGCAAAAUAUUCCUCUUAUCUUUAUUUGGAAGUUAGAAAAUAGAAACUGCAAAAGAGAUGGGAGUACUACAACCAUGAAUACUGAUUUCCCACAAAAUUGCAAAUGCUAUGUAAGUUGUUUACAAAAACUGUGUUUUAGCAGAGAAAUGGGGGUGGCAGGUAGGGAUAAUUUUAUUUCUGGCUCUUUCACUGAUUCAUUAUUUGACCUUGUGCAAGCUACUUUCACACUCUGUGAUUAUAGUUCCAUAGCGGAGGCAAUAAUGCCGAUUGUACAUGGGAAUUCAAAUAGUUAUUCAAUAUUAUGUCUUAGCACUUAUCUCCCUGUAUGAAAUUUGUUACAAGGGUAUAGGAAUUGCUAUAAGUAUAUAAAAUAAACAUGACAAAGACAUCAAGAAUAAAGAGGCUUUUCGGCAAGAAAAAUCAUCUCAAGGGAGCCUAAAAUCUGAAAUUGAAAAACAGUGUAUUUUUGUUGCUUUUUCUUUUCUUUUCUUUUCUUUCUUUUUUUUUUUUUAAGGACUCUAUCCAGGAGUCAGGCUUCAGUGGUACUAGGACAUUAUUUUACCAUUUUCCCUUUAAAUUGUGUGUAUGUAUGUGUGUGUGUUUGUGUGUAAGGCACUUCAGGUGUGAGUGUGUCACAUUUAGAGAGCUAAGGAACAGAUGAAUAACAGAAGGAUGCUGAAUGGUUACUUCUGCCUUUUCAAGCCAAGCCUCUACUCAGCUUUCCAGGUGGAACCAGUCUGGGGAGGAGAAUCUGGAAACGGCUGAGCAUGGGUCCUGGGGUCUCUAGACUGAAGUUUGAGACUCAGCCUGAUUAGAUAUUAAAUAUGCACCAUCAGGGAAGCUCCAUUUGCUUUGAGUCUCAGCACCCUCAUCUAAAAGUAGGGAUAAUAACACACCUUUCUAGAAUGUUUACAAGAAGUGGACAUGUUAGCAUAUCGAAAACACUUGCUAAACUUUAAGGGACUAAACAGAAGUCUACCCAAAGCAAACUACUUAGAGAUUUUAGAGGAACAUCAAAGUAAACAUUUAUUUUAAAAUACAAGGUAGGAGUUCCUGUCGUGGCUCAGUGGUUAACGAAUCCAACUAGGAACGAUGAGGAUGCGGGUUCGAUCCCUGGCCUUGCUCAGUGGGCUAAGGAUCCCGCGUUGCUGUGGCUCUGGCAUAGGCCGGUGGCUACAGCUCCAAUUCGACCCCUAGCCUGGGAACCUCCACAUGCCAUGGGAGCGGCCCUAGAAAAGGCAAAAAGACGAAAAAAAAAAAAAAA
ensembl:lncRNA